rnacentral:rRNA from 1 species
AUUGAACGCUGGCGGCAUGCCUUACACAUGCAAGUCGAACGGCAGCACGGGAGCAAUCCUGGUGGCGAGUGGCGAACGGGUGAGUAAUAUAUCGGAACGUGCCCAGUCGUGGGGGAUAACGUAGCGAAAGCUACGCUAAUACCGCAUACGAUCUAUGGAUGAAAGCGGGGGAUCGCAAGACCUCGCGCGAUUGGAGCGGCCGAUAUCAGAUUAGGUAGUUGGUGGGGUAAAAGCUUACCAAGCCUGCGAUCUGUAGCUGGUCUGAGAGGACGACCAGCCACACUGGAACUGAGACACGGUCCAGACUCCUACGGGAGGCAGCAGUGGGGAAUUUUGGACAAUGGGCGCAAGCCUGAUCCAGCAAUGCCGCGUGCAGGAUGAAGGCCUUC